GGUCUUCAGCCACCUUCCUGUGGGCCUUGCGAGGACCAAAAAAACUGGCUUUGUCUUCACCUGGUAUCCAGGUGUUGUGGAUUUGGUUAUUCUUCUGAAAUAUGUGAAGAGUUCAAGAGGAUAACAACAAUCAGCUGUGAAUCGACCUUUCUGGCCAAGCUGGACCAGUGCACCCCAAAACUGAUAGCCUUGACCCAAUCAAGAGGAGGAGCUGCAGGCAUGAAGAUAAGACACAUUAAGGACAUGCUCCUUGAGGACAACAUGGUUGAAAAGUGGAGAGAAAUUGCCAUUUGCUGCCUCAUAGUCGAUCUUGGAGAGAAGGAAGAGGACCUUUUC